GAUGUGGGGCUUUACGUGAGCUCUUCGUUCAAACUUUGUCCCGUUCUUCUCCCCGUUCCCCAAGACAAACUUCGGAAAGCCUGGCUCCCUGCAGGUCCGGAGUGGGCAGCGGCUGUAGCUCACGGGCUGAGGCGCGGUGCUGUGCAGCUGCAUGUGCGGAAAAAGAUGUGACCUCGCUCUACCCCGUAAGAGAAUUUUGGCCGUCGCUGCGGCGCCCGAGCGCAUUUCCGAGGGGCAACGUGGGUGCUCUAAGCAUCGCAUUUGUCACGGGAACUCAUUUCCUAUUACCGCUUGCCGGAUCUUUGGGUUUGGUCAACAAAGCCAGGCAAAAGAAGUGGUUAAGGGAAGAAGUUUUUUUAAGCCCGAAGAAGGGAACGCAACAGGAAAUCCUCUGAAGGUUUGGUGAAGAAAUUCUGGAAAGCUGGUAUCAUUGUGGUAGUGUGAUGUGAGUCUGUGAACCAACGAAGACAUGAAAGGACAGAACAUACCACCUCUUAUCAUCUAUUUAUUUCACAUCAGCACUAUACUUUGGGGUUUUACAGAACAGGAAGAAGUAACAGGGCUGUUUUCCAAGGAUUGCAUCCUCCCUUGUCGUUUCCCACCUGGGCAUGAUGAAGUAAUUCACUGGAGCAAAGAGAACAAAAAUGUGCACAGUUACUACCAGCAGAAGGAUCAGUUGGAAGGACAAGAUCCACAUUACAGACUCAGAACACACCUUUUCCAUGAGAACAUCCCUAGUGGAAAUGCCUCCUUGAAACUUAGUAACCUGACCAUGACUGAUGAGGGCUCCUACACUUGCUAUGUGGGAACAGUGCAAGAUGGAACAGAAGUGGAAGUGCUGCUACGCGUAAGGGCUCCUUCUUCUUAUGCACUGGAAUACCAGAAGACAAAGACAGAAAGGAGACUGAAGUGCUAUGCGUUUCUCACUUAUCCAGCACCAAAUAUAUCUUGGGUAAAAGGCAAUAUAUCCAUCCAAGAGACAGAUCGGGAGGAAACCAGGAAUGGAGUUCUCUAUUCUCUUAGAAGUGACCAGGACAUUAUAAACAUGGCAGAUACUUACUACUGUCAUAUUCAUUUCCACGGUGAAGUGUGGGCUGCUGAAUGGAAGAUGCAAGACCACCUGUUUAAUGUGGAAGGAGGUAGCACCGUAAUUCCUUGUGAACAUAGGAAUGACACCGCAAGCUCUGGCUUUGACUCUGGUUUCAGUGUUGUCUGGACAUUACACAGAAAUGCAGCGAGCUCAGUCCUGGCCUCCUUCAAUGGCACAUCUCACUCUCACCAGCCUCGAGUCUGGGUUCACGAAAAUGACUUUUCACUAAUGCUGGAUGAUCUUACUGCAGAUGACAGUGGAGAAUAUCUGUGUAAUAUUUCAACACCUUUCUACACAAAACUUACUGUGAGAACUUUACAUGUUGAAAAUUCAGGCAAGACCUGGAAGAUUGUGCUAGGAGCACUGUUUGUUGCAGUGGUGACAACAGUGGCAACAGCGGUAGCAGUUUGCUAUCUCAAGAAAAAAAGGAAGGAAGGAAUCCUAUGAACACCUUGACAUACAGGAAGAAAGUAGUUUUCUGCACAGAGAUACUUCUGAGAUUGUUGAUGAAAAGAACAAAGAGUUCCUUCACCUUCUCCUUUAGACAGAGUGUCUCGGUUUGAGACAAGUUUAGGAGGAAAUGCUCUGGAAGGAACGUCUCCUCCCCAGAAGGCAGGUUUCUGCACUCCCUCCCCCACCAAUACAAAAGGAAUUUCUUGGAUGAAAGUUAAAAAAACGAUUUAUUUAACAAGCAGAGUGCCAGCAGGCACAGAAAAAAAAAGAGUAAUGUUAGAUAAUAAACCUCCUCGAUGUGGAGUAAGCUGGUGGUUUUAGAGUUCUGUCUGUAGCUGGCUCGGCCCCUCCCGAGGCCCAAGGCCGGGGUGCGGCGUCCCCGCAGGCUCGCUGCCGGUCCACAGGGUCCGAUGAUCUGGUUCUUGGAUCACUGCUAAGCUGGACAGUUCCAGAAGAAGAAGAAGUUCCAGAGGAUUUUGGUAUGCAGUCCUGGGAACAUUUCUUGCCUCAGCUACCAGGCUGGCUAAAAGCAGGAAUGUGCUCCCUCAGCUCUGCAGCGGUGAGAACGCAGGGGAGUGUGUGUGAGUCCUUGAACACAAACUGCACUGAAGAAUUCACUCAGCUUCUCUCCCUCCUCUCCUGGACCCAGUUUAAAGCUGGGGGACCCAUUUCUGGGCAAUAAGCAGACAGUAGGGGAAUACAGUAUUAUAAAAUCAUCCCAAGACACAGAGCCACAUGGAAAUGCAAUUGUCUGAGCAACAGUAAUGGACAAAUGGGGACGGAAAAAAAGUAAUGUACGCUUGUAUGUGAAAAGUCAUGUAGCAGGGCAUCUCACCCCCCUACAUGAGCUUAUCUGUUGCUUGUUAACCAGUGAGAUAACUGAAACCAGACAAAGCUCUCUUGUAGUGAGCUAUUUUGGCACCAUGGAAUUACCAUUGGUCUGGCAUCUUCCAGCUGACAAUAAGCAUCUUACUGUGGAAGUGAGAUAUGGAAAGAGAAACUGGAUUUCUGACUGACAGACGCCUCACUUUACAAACUAUGUAAGCUACACCAAACUUCCACAGAGCAGGAAUCUUCUGCACAUUUUCCAGUGGUUUCUCCCCAGAGCAGGGAUGCCUGCUUUGCGGUUAUUCCUCUGGAGGCUGAGUGAAAGGACUCUGUGUACAUUAUCAUCAUUUUGGUGACACAAGGAAGAGAAGAAUUCUGCCUUCCAUGUCUGCCAAACUGAAAGGAAGAUAAACCUGAAUGGAACAGGAGAGAUCAUAGCUCGGCAUUACCUUUGUUUGAAGUCAGCAUAAAGCACCCUGUUUGGGAAACCCUUCCGGCAAAUGCGGAUGCCUUCCAGGACACCAUUACAGCGGAGCUGAUGCAAGACAAGGAAUGCAUCCAUUUCGCCUGCAGGGGGAAAACAAGGCUAAAUUAAAUGGAGUUUCUCCACAGGGCUUCAUCUUCAUUUCCCAAAGGAAGUUGGAAAAUGUGAGAAGUCAUCUCCUGAAAGAGCAACAGGACUGGAUAAGGUAGAAAGCACAGACAGUAUUUAAGUACAAUCUGGUGACUCAAAAGUACGUAAUAGAAUGACAGAGUUAAAUAUUCUAAAAUUUUAAGACUAUUGUCUUUUUCAUACCUGGAGUUUUUGAUUCAUUGGGGAUAAUGCAUCGUACAAAGUGAGGGGCUGUAGAUCUUAGGUUAGUCAUCAGCUUAUUUAAAUUUUCCUAGAACAGACACAUGAAAAACAUAAUUAGCUUUAGCAGUUUAGUGGAAUUCAAAUCACUAUUUCUUUGGUUUGUUGUUUAUUAAAUUUAAGAAGCUCAUCUUUCUAAAAAUUGUAAGCUUACCAAAAUUAUUAGAGAGAAAUGUGUUAAAAUAAACCAAAGUAUGAUUUCAUAUUAUCAUAGUAUUCCACAUCUGUUUUAGCAAAGAAGAUACGUGUUUUACUUACGACCCCAGAAAUUCAAAACCCAAGAUGAACAGCAGGUAAGAUUCAGUAUCAUCCUGUGAAGCAUUUCUGUAAAGCCAACAGCAUCUUUGCCUAGUCACUUCCCCACUCAGCAGGGAGAGCUCACCUUUCCCACGUGUUCCUCAUAAAGGCUGGGUUUUUGUCUCCCGGCCAAACAUUUUCCCAUUAUUAGUCUUAAUCACACAUGUCCCAGACAGACAGAAAGCUAGGUCAGAAGAAGCCAACCAUUCAGGGAUCACCAAGCUCUGGUGAGUGUUUUGUCUAGUAAGUAGGAAAUGGAGACGGUGGGAGGUGGAAUGCAACGUCAUCAGCACAACUCAGCAAACUGCAAUUUUCUCACACACCAGUCAGGACAACAAACAACCUGAGCUGGCUACUAAAGCUGCUUGUGUGAUGGAAAUUUGGCUUCUGUCUGUGGCUUAUUGAUUAUUGUCUGAGUGCUCCUUCAGCCACCUGUAUGCCUCUUCAGCUGGUAAGACGCAGGUCUGCAUUUCCUGUGAUUUCCCUUCAUGGGGAGUAUCUCCAAACAAGAUAAAGUGACAUAACUAGUGGGUAACUACAUUCUUCCCAACCUGAGGUUUACAUACAUUACAUCUUCCUCAAUGUUACCCAUAGAAACGGUAGUAAUGGUAAAAAAUGGUAAAUAGCCCCAUUUUUCCUCAGGCAUGAUCCUAGUGACAGCUUCCACCAGGAGUACAUACCAGUCCCAGUAGAAGGGAAUAACUGAGGAAACAAGAGGCUUUAUGGCACUUAAUUCAACAGCUUUUGUUUUCCAUGACUGCUCUAACCCUAGGAUCCAAUUACAAGCAGUAAUCAGAGAGGGACUAGCAAAUUACUUGUAAUCAGUUCCUGUUCCAAAGACAAACAUGAAGCUGUAAGCCACAAAAUAAGUGUUAAAUGUUGUUGGCACCAUUCUCUGAUACUUUCUCAAACACAGUAAAAAGAACAAUCUCCCAACUGCUCCAAGAUAAUGAAAUGGAGCAGGCCCUGACAUGCAGUUUUAAUAGCAGUGUAUUUCUUUAGCCAAGGUAAAUAACCCCAUCUAUGAGUCAAAUUUCAAUGCUGGAUUUAAAUUCCUUCUUCUCCAUUACAAUCCUUAACAUUCUUCUUCAACGCAUUGUCUUAAACUGCCAGGUGCGGAGAGGUAACAAACCUUGUGCAGUGAGGACACUGUUUGGAAAGAAGCACCUUUCUUGCGUUUCUUUUCUCCACCCUGGUCACCUAGGGGGGAAAAAAGAAGCAUAAGCCAAUCUGUAUCUCAGUAAGGGGUGCAGGCAGAGUGUGGAAAAUAGACCAUUUUGAUAGUGCUGCUCUCUUUGACUAAAAGACUCUGAUUGCUCAAUUUUUACACAAGACAUUCUGUACAUCAUGUGUGAUAUAUCACACAUUUGCAGCUCUCUGUCCAUAGUAAGGAAUUUUGUCAAAGACCACUGUAAGCUUUCUGGAUUGCAUUUGCAUUUCAGAUCUAUCCUGCACCGCUUGUUAUGCAGAAAAGCUCAUAAAUAUGAAUAAGGCAGAAAAAUAACUUUUAACAAAAGUAAUUUGUAGUUUGUUAAAAGCCCCAUAGGGUGAGAUGAUGUAGAAAAAGAAAACUUAAAGAAAAAGAAUGCUUACAGAAAACUUAUACUGCACAUUGUACUGUAUAGAAACUGAUUCUCUGCUAUGCAGACUCUGAACUUGUGCAAGUAAGAUUUGUCUAGAAUAGAAGGAAAUAAAUAUUUGUAAUUUUAGAUAUAGUAACUUUGCACCUCCUGAAUUUUGCUUAAAGCUUUGGAGUCAAAAUCACUCAGAUCCUUCCAAGGAAUGCUAGUUUCUGACAAGACCUUUACAAAGCUUUGCAAGUUCCAGACACGACCCAAAAAUGUACAGCAAUUACUGCAGCUUUCUAAGCAGUGGGCUAGAUCAUACCCAGGAGGUCUGUCAUUCUGUCUGUCACACCUGCCAACAAGAGUCAACAUAAGAGGAGAAGUGAAGACUGCAAUGUGCUUGAUGCAAUUAUCCACAGCCUUUCCCCCUUCAGAAGGUGACACUGCUGAGACUGGAAAAGGCUAAUCUGGACAGGCUGUUCCUUUCUCCUGACACCAAAGAAAAGCAAGGUAGUAUUCUGACAGACAGGAAUAUCCACAGGCAAAUAGGCAGUUAGUAACUUGAAAGGAUUUGCUAGUGGCAGGAUGUUUGUUAUUUACAUUCAGCUCCAUCUCAUUCCCAUUGCGAACUCUUCAGCCUGCUUGCUUCCUAGGAAAGUGUCAUGUGAUUCAUGACAAGAGCAUCUCUUGAAAUGAGGCUCUAAUAAACAUGCUGUAAGUGAUUGCAACUUCAGGACAUAAGAGCUACAUCUUUGUAAUGAAUACCAGUUAUUUAUUUAAGAUCAAUUUUCUGGAUGUUUGUUACUUGUCUUCUCAUGAAUAAAAGAGUUCUGUGUAAACGAUAGAGAUUAAAUAUGUCCUCAGAUACACAUUAUUAGAUUGUACAUUAGUACAAUGUGCACUGUCAAAUAAAAAACAGCAGCAAGCAAAAAGGGAGACAUAUUGGCAAAGCCUUCUACUGUGGCCAGUGUGGAAUGGUGUUCCAGAACCAUCAGUGUGUACUUGCUACUAAUCCAAUAAAAUAUUCCAAAACUCUCUCUUAAA